GAAAUCGGGCCUUUGAUUCAUGGAACUUAUUUGCACAGUAUUCGUCUUGUCGCACCGGUAGAAGCCGGUUUGGCUUUGUCCCGAGGUUAGAACUCGGGCCUUUGAUUAAUUGAACUUAUUCGCACAGUAUUCGCCUUGUCGCACCGGUAGAAGCCCGUUUGGCUUUGUCCCGAGGUUAGAACUCGGGCCUUUGAUUCAUCGAACUUAUUUGCACAGUAUUCGUCUUGUCGCAUCGGUAGAAGCCCGCUUGGCUUUGUCCCGAGGUUGGAAAUCGGGCCUUUGAUUCAUGGAACUUAUUUGCACAGUAUUCGUCUUGUCGCAUCGGUAGAAGCCCGCUUGGCUUUGUCCCGAGGUUAGAAAUGGGGCCUUUGAUUCAUUGAACUGAUUUGCACAGUAUUCGUCUUGUCGCAUCGGUAGAAGCCCGCUUGGCUUUGCCCCGAGGUUAGAACUCGGGCCUUUGAUUCAUUGAACUUAUUUGCACAGUGUUCGCCUUGUCGCAUCGGUAGAAGCCCGCUUGGCUUUGCCCCGAGGUUAGAACUCGGGCCUUUGAUUCAUGGAACUUAUUUGCACAGUAUUCGCCUUGGCGCACUGGUAGAAGCCCGCUUGGCUUG